rnacentral:rRNA from 1 species
CCUACGGGAGGCAGCAGUGGGGAAUAUUGGGCAAUGGGCGCAAGCCUGACCCAGCAACGCCGCGUGAAGGAAGAAGGCUUUCGGGUUGUAAACUUCUUUUGACAGGGAAGAGUAGAAGACGGUACCUGUCGAAUAAGCCACGGCUAACUACGUGCCAGCAGCCGCGGUAAUACGUAGGUGGCAAGCGUUGUCCGGAUUUACUGGGGGUAAAGGGCGUGGAGCCGGGUAGACAAGUCAGAUGUGAAAUCCUGCGGCUUAACCGCAGCACUGCAUUUGAAACUGUUGAGCUGGAGUACUGGAGGGGCAGACGGAAUUCCUAGUGUAGCGGUGAAAUGCGUAGAUAUUAGGAGGAACACCAGUGGCGAAGGCGGUUUGCUGGACAGCAACUGACGGUGAGGCGCGAAAGCGUGGGGAGCAAACAGGAUUAGAUACCCUUGUAGUC